AUAUUGGUCAAUGGGCGAGAGCCUGAACCAGCCAAGUAGCGUGAAGGAUGACUGCCCUAUGGGUUGUAAACUUCUGUUAUAAAGGAAGAACGGCACAUAUAGGGAAUGAUAUGUGAGUGACGGUACUUUAUGAGGAAGCCACGGCUAACUACGUGCCAGCAGCCGCGGUAAUACGGAGGAUCCGAGCGUUAUCCGGAUUUAUUGGGUUUAAAGGGAGCGUAGAUGGAUGUUUAAGUCAGUUGUGAAAGUUUGCGGCUCAACCGUAAAAUUGCAGUUGAUACUGGAUAUCUUGAGUGCAGUUGAGGCAGGCGGAAUUCGUGGUGUAGCGGUGAAAUGCUUAGAUAUCACGAAGAACUCCGAUUGCGAAGGCAGCCUGCUAAGCUGCAACUGACAUUGAGGCUCGAAAGUGUGGGUAUCAAACA
rnacentral:rRNA from 1 species